rnacentral:sRNA from 1 species
UUAAGAGUACUGGCUCCUCUUCCAGAGGACCUAGAUUUGGAACACCAGCAUGGUGGCCUGCAAUAGAAGUAUUGUGAGUUGGUGCUGAGACGACAGCAAAUCACAGGAGGAGGUGACAAUGCAGCAGGAUCCUAAGCCUAGCUCCUCUGAGCAAGAGGUCCUCAUCGGUCCUUACAGGAUCCUCAAGACCCUUGGCACAGGCAACUUUGCUCAGGUCAAACUGGCUGUGCACCUCCACACAAAGAUGCAGGUUGCUCUGAAGACCCUGGAAAAGGACAAAAAGAACGCUACUCUGAUUUCCACAGAGCUAGAAAUAAUGAAAUUAGUAGACCACCCUAAUAUAACCAAAUUGUUCCAUGUCAUGGAAACCAGUGAGCAUGUCUGCAUGGUUAUGGAAUACGCUCCUGGUGGUGAUCUGGCUGGUCGCAUCAUAGAGGUGAGCUACAUUCAGGAAGAGGAGGCCCGACACAUCUUCACACAGAUAGUUUGUGCAGUUAAUUACUGCCACAAGAAUGGCAUUGCACACAGGGACAUCAAGCCAGAAAACAUUCUGAUGGAUGCUAGAAGAAACAUCAAACUGUGUGACUUUGGCCUGGCCAUCAAGGUUAACACUGAGCAGAAGUCAACAGUGUUCUGUGGCACCCUUCCAUACUGUGCACCAGAACUUUUCAGCAUCCAAAGCUAUGAUCCCAGGGCCCUUGAUAUCUGGAGCAUGGGGGUGGUACUAUACAUCAUGGUGACGAAGCAUUACCCGUUCAAAGCAACGACAUAUGACAAGAUGAGGGAGGAGAUGCGGGACCCACACUACUAUAUCCCGCCAAAGCUCCCAGCACACAUUGCCAACCUCAUCAUGCAGUUGUUCACUAUUGAUCCUUUGCAGAGGCCCAAGAUAGGUGACGUUGCGAAACAUCAGUGGCUGCAGGGCAGCGAGGAGCUUUCAAAAAUCACCCUACCCCAAGAGACACUCAGCAGCAAGCCCAGCCCCAGUAUUAUGGCAAUUAUGGGGGCCAUGGGCUACAACCCCAAGGACAUUACAGACUCUUUAUAUAAAAAAAAAUUUAAUAGCAUCAUGGCAACUUACUUAAUUUUAAAACACCAGUCACCCUACAGGGACAGCGCUAACCGCAAGUUUAAACUCAUUCAGCCUCGUAGUGCCACGAUACCCACAGAUCCUCCCACUGUCCAUGUCUUCCUAAAGAACAUCGGGACUGAGCCUGACAAUUCCACCUCUGCUCCAACAGCAAAAGACAAGCCCUACAACAACGCCAAGCUUGUAAGAAAGGACAGCAAGAAUCCCAGGAUAACUGAUGCUAUGGGCCGCCAGAAGACUCGUGUCCCUCCUGAAACAGCUGCCCAGUGUGGGCCUGUGCAGCGUCACCAGGAGCCUCUCUUGAAAAGCAGCUUGCUGAAGAGAAACGUGGCUUCCAGUGCUGUAUCCUCUUUUCCUGUGCAGUAUGACCGUGAUCAGUUCUUGAACAGUAGCUUGCAGAAGAGAGGGGUGGUUUCUAAGGCCGUGUCCUGUGGUCCUGUGCAGUAUGUGCAGAGGAGAAACAUGAUGUCCAAGGCUGUGUCCUGUGGUCCUGUGGAGUAUGAAGAUGAGCAUCCCCCGAGCCACAGCUCACAGAAAAGAGGGGUGGUUUCUAAGGCCGUGUCCUGUGGUCCUGUCGAGUAUGAAGAUGAGCAUCCCCUGAGCCACAGCUUGCAGAAGAGAGGGGUGGUUUCUAAGGCUGUGUCCUGUGGUUCCAUGCAGCAUGACCUCGAGCAGCUCCCGAGCUUUCAAAAAACAAAUAUGGUUUCCAAGGCUGUGUCCUGUGGUCCUGUGCAGCUCUCCAACAGCACCUUGCAGAAGGGAGGCCUGGUUUCCAAGGCCGUGUCCUGUGGUUCCAUGCAGCAUGACCUCGAGCAGCUCCCGAGCUUUCAAAAAACAAAUAUGGUUUCCAAGGCUGUGUCCUGUGGUCCUGUGCAGCUCUCCAACAGCACCUUGCAGAUGGGAGGCCUGGUUUCCAAGGCCGUGUCCUGUGGUUCCAUGCAGCAUGACCUCGAGCAGCUCCCAAGCUUUCAAAAAACAAAUAUGGUUUCCAAGGCCGUGUCCUGUGGUCCUGUGCAGCUCUCCAACAGCACCUUGCAGAAUGGAGGCCUGGUUUCUAAGGCCGUGUCCUGUGAGUCCAUGCAGCAUGACCAUGAGCACCUCCUAAGCGGCUCCAUGGAAAAGAGAAACACAGUGGCUUCCAGGGGUACGUCUCCAGACACAGCUCCCUCCAUGGACGUUCUUUCUGAGUACCACAUUUUCCAGAUGGAUCCCCAGGGUGAAUCCCUGACUAAGUGCAGCUCAUACAUCCACAGUAUAGCCUCUGUAUGGAGCUCUGAGGAGAAGCCUCAGGAUAUGGCCACCACAGACUGUCAUCACAAGGACAGAAGCUUGUCCUUGCAGGAAACAUCUGAACCAAGCUUUGCUGCUGCCCAGACCCAGUGUGUAACCACAGCCUCUCCUCAGAACUCAUCAGGCAGAUGGAAGCGGGCAAAGAGAAGGAUGGUGAAGUGUUUAAGGAGAUUAUGCUGCUGUCUGCCAGACCAAAGGAGAAGCUGCACUUCCCAGAGGAGAGUGCUUCCACAGGAGGUGGGAGAAAGUGGAGUCACACAAAACCAGGCUCUUUUGCAGUAGAUUUUGGGAGCCCCUCCAGCCAGUGCAUGGUGUCCGUGUACUUUUGACCAGCUUCAGGCAGGAUCUCUGUGAGUGCUUUAGUCUCUGGUGACUGCAGGUAUCUGGAGACCAGCAGGUAGGUUACCAGGGUAACCCUCUUGGUUCAUUUUUAUAGAGGUGCGUUUUGGGAGAUAAGAGAGCAUGAUGGAGUAGGAAUUUGGUUCAACUUCACCCCAGCCAUGCCUGGGAGAGCAGAGUUCAGGGGAACUGCACUGGCCUAAGAUAAACCAGGACAACUGUCCUAAAGACCUAUGAGAGGGAACUUUGCAAGAACAUCUGGGAGAGCCAUGUGGGAGAACAUUUUGAAUCACCAAUACCCCAGUUACUUUGUAAACCCAGUGCCUCAUUCCUGAGUGUAUGGUGUACGGGGCCUUUGGAAAGGUGACAGGAAAGGAGAGUAAUUAGCCAGGUCAUCUAAGACCAAGGGCAGCAUAGCCCCAGGCUGUAUGGAGCUAGUUAGCUUGCAUAGCAAAUGCCUCAUUCUGGAAGAAGAGGCCUGCAUGCGAUUGAUUUGGCCUCUGCAUGGACACCGACAGGCUCUUCAACAAGACAUUGAAUGUCUCAUUGGGGUGCAGGAGCAGACACAGGAAGGCUCUCCUCAUCCCCAACUGUGGAUUCUCUCCAUUCCCUCUGUGCUCUCAAACUGUGAAACCGAGCCAUGAAGCUCAGUCUGAGGUUCUUCCUGCCUCUGCCCAGGACGCCAUAGAAGAUUCGCCUGACAAGCUGGCCAGGGAUAUGACUGGUGUGUAGUACAUCGGAGAUCUUGGACCAGAUGCAGAGACCCUGAAGCUGAGACUGGAGGUUGUGAUGAAGGCAAGUCUCAUGGCCAGCCCAGUGAGGAGGGCAUUCUUCAAAGUGACUACAAAGUCUUCCUGUCCUUGAGCUGUGGCGCACUGGAGGAGGUGAAACCUGCAUGCCACGUUCUCACACGUAAACAACUGGUCCUGGAGAAAAGGAACAAACUUGUAUGACAUCACCUCUGAGGUAGAACUCAUUAAAUCAUUGGAAGAUCAUCAAACUCUUAUACACGGUUGAUACACCAUUAACCACUUACAUGAUAAUUGGGUGUGUGGUGAGGAGAAGAACUGGAGAGGUGCCCAAUGGAGGAUGGAGCAUUAUGGCUUUUCCAGCAGGCUACGUCAGUUGUUCACUUCCUCCUCCGGAGGCACAGGCUACCAGAAUAUCCAAUUGGAAAACAUCUAGUGGAUGCAGCAGGAAAUUCAAAGCUUUGUGACUUUGGUAUGGCAACUAAACUCACAAAGGGACAGGUGAUGGGGAAGCUCUGUGGCUCCCUGAUCUACCUGACCCCAGAUACCUUGACAGGUAGACUGUGUAAUGGCCUUACAGUUGACACAGAAUUUGGAUAUCCUUCUCAGUGUCAUGUUCACAGAUCUCUUUCCAUACUUAGAAACAAUUCUUUCAGGCAUGCACCCGCUCAUCACCACCACAAUGUGUCAUCUUUCUUGUUACUUGUCCAAAACCCACCAGGUUAUUAUUGCAAGCUUGGUCCUGGUCCUCCCUUCCCCGUGAUAGUGGGUCAUCUAGUGGAACACACAUGGCUGUACCACAUCCAAGAACAUGCACCACUUGUCUCUAAAGAAAUAAUAUUGAUGACCAUGAAGAACAUGUGUAUGAUUAGACACGGGUAAACUAUGUAAAACACAGGUUACAAAAUGAAAGUCACAGCUAAAUUCAAUGUUUUGAAACAUCAGUUGGGCUGUGGGGAUAGCUGUCUCCCAACUGUAAGGCCCCAUUUAAAUCCCAGUGCUGCAGGGUUUCUUGCCUAACACCCAGUGCUGCCCAGAGAAGAUGCGCUGUCUAGGUACCACAGACACGGAAAGCAAAACUGUGAAUGUUUGGAGGACAUUGAAGUUGGUGUGACUCUGGGUGACACUCCACUUGAUGAGGAGGCCCCAACAGAGUCAGCCUAGGACGCAACAACCACAGGGCUAAAUGAAGAGAACAAGAGCUUGUGCCCUGUGGAGCCCCCAACAGAGUCAGCCUAGGACGCAACAACCACAGGGCUAAAUGAAGAGAACAAGAGCUUGUGCCCUGUGGAGCCCCCAACAGGGUGAGUCUCACCCAGUGUCCCAGCCCCAGGUUGAACCUAUAGACUCUGGCUCCAAGAUGGCUCUGGCUGGAAGGGACCAAGGAGGUGAAUUACUUGAGUAUUUAGAACACUUUGCUGCUGCCUGCCCACCCAAAGGUGAGUCAUGAAUACUUGUGGUAAGGAGCUGCAAAGAAAGGAGACAGGAAUGGGGUCCUGUAGUUUAGGGCAUCAAAAUGCAUGUCUACAUUUUAUUUUAAUGCUUUUUGGAUGACCCUUGUAAGUGGCAAAUUACAAAUUUAUGGUGUACAAGACUUAAGGUGUCAAUGUCUUUAGAAGGAACAAGCUUACAAUCUCCCUCUCAUGUAGAUUCUUGGGUUGUUGAGCCAGAUGUAGUUAGCAGAGUGUAGCAACCAGAGGAUGGGAAGGGAGAGAGGAGAGUUUUGCAAAGGGGGCAAAGGUUCAGUAGUUGGGGGAUCAAGUGGAGGGCUAAGGUACAGCAGGGUACUUAGUGCCAAGUCCUGCCUAUGUUAACAUGACUAACGGAAGACUUUCCAUGGAUCUUUUUUCAAGUGGUGAAAUAGACAAGGCCUGGUGCAGAUGGACAGCCACUGAAGAGAGCCAGGCCAGAAUGUGAAUGUCAGGGUGCUGUUUGCCCACACACCCAGGGCACAGGCUCCACAGCCAUCCUUCAUCAGGUCUUUGCUGCCAACUCCCUGCUUGCUCAGCCCAGCACUGCAGGCUGCACCAAUAGGUGGUCUCACGUGACAUCUACCUGAUGAAGGCCUACCUCUCCAGCUCCUGUGGAACAGAUACCCCUGGAAGCCAGACUGUCUGGCAUACAGCCUCCUUCCUUCCAGCCUCUGUGGUGAUGUCCCUUCCUAUCCCACAGAAACAAUCCCUCAACACUUACUUGACUGCACUUGAGAUCGCUUUGGUUCCUGCAACAGGGUGGGUAAGGCCUCUCUGGGACUGGGGCUCAGAAUGUCUCUGUAGGAAGCAGCCGUGGGGCUACUUUGUAAUCAGUGUCCGCCUCAGGGGUAAGGUUUAGAAAGAACCAUGGAGCCAUGGAUGGCAGCCAGUGAUGCUGAGUGGACACUAGCUGCUGUGGUGCUGCAGUGCUCUUCUGGGUACCUUCUUGGUGGGGUGGAGCUCCUGGCGUCCACAGGGACCCACCAGCUGACCAGGAACACAGGGGGAUGACCUGUGGAUAUCAUGCAUUUGAGAUAAUUCUGAGUCCACCAAGUAUCUGCUUGUGGUAAAAGAUGGGUUUCUGAAGCCUGCCCUUGACAGAACACUAGUCCAGUGAAUACAAGGGAGGUGACUUAUGCAGGAUGCCCUGACCCAGAGGGGAAGGGGCUGACUUGCUUUUGGGAUUUGGUCUGUUGUGCUUAGCAGCAGGCUUUCCUCUCUCACCCUCUGGCCCCAGGCCUUUUUGGCAUCCUGGAAUAUUCUCAGGAGAGUACCAAGUUGUGUUCCCAGCUAUGUGGCAUGAAUGUGGUCAUGUCACUGGCCAGCCACUGCAUGACAUCAUACUUUUUACAGCCCCGACCAUGUAGUGAGUCCCAUUUGGCCCCACAUGGGAACAAGGCAGAGGCGCAGAUGGUCUUGUUUGUGUGGGCCGAGCAGGUGUGGGUAUGGGUGUGGGUGUGGUGUUCACUGGGGUAGGCCUCAGCUUCUGCUUCUACCAGGGCUGGGAAGGUGGUACAUUUUGUUGCUCUCUUGGAAACAAGUUAGGGGAAAUAGUCAAUAGGGAGUGCAGUGGAGAGGGAGUGAGAGGGGAGGGUAGAAGGAGAGAGAAGACUGACUGACUGACUGUCUGUCUGUCUGUCUGUCUGUCUGUCUGGUUUAUGAGGUCCUCUCAAGGAAAAUUGGGUUGCUUAGUUAUGGCCCUCAGCGUGCUUCUCUGUAUAUAAGGUGUGCCAGGAACCUUUGUUGCAGAAGAUGAUGGAAGGUGCCUUCACACCUGAUCUCCUGCUUCCUUAACCUGUCUUGUAGGGAAAUCACACAGCUCUGAAGACAUUUUCUAUGAUGGCUCAUUGGUGCUCAUCUUGUGGCCAUCCAAAGAGAAAAGCAGGGACGAAGCCCAGCCCGUGGCAGCAAGUUUCACGAUGGAACCCACAUUGUUAGGUCACACACAGAGGUGUGCAUGUGGCACUAACUAACCUGAACAUUGUCCACACAUGGCUUUGGUUUUCUACUGAAGAGCAGAGUACGGUGAGGAAGGGGUCCUUGAACCUAGCACCUUUACCAGUUGCUUGUCUAUAUCCUGCACACUCGGCAGCUGGGAGCCAAUGUGUUUCCUAGCUGCCUCCAGGUUUCAGGAUGUUCAGAUCCACAGUUCCACUGCAGCCCACAGAAUUCCUGCUUAUGAUGGAGGAAACGCCAGGGGCCUUAUCAGAGAAAUGGAGGAGCUUCUUCUUGAGGGAUGAACAAGUUAGGUCAGGGAACUGGGUCAUUCCUGAUCCAGGUCUUUGGCCCUAGCCGUGAUGUCCUCUGUGGCCCCAGGCUGGGCUUAGGAGUUCAGUGUCAGCUCCAGAGACCCACCAGCCUUCCUCCCGGGUCUCAGUUCUGCUGGCUGUAUUUGAUGGGUUCAGCAUUGAAACUUUCUUCGCUCUGUAUCACCUGGACAAGCAUAAAGGAGGUGGGAAGUGGGAGGACAGAGGCUCUAGUGUGACAUGUUGGUAGGGAGCCUUUUCUGACCACCUGAUCCCAAAGCCUGCUGCCAGGAAAAAGAGCUGGUCCAGCCAGGCUGCUUGGUGUCUCUUCCCAGGGGAGGUUACAAAGGAAGGAGACGGGCUUUGUGCUUGUCUCUCUUUAGUCUCUGACCACCAGUGGGAAUGAACAUGCUCUUCUCUGGCUGCAGCCUUCAUCCCAGGGAAUGUGAGACUUUGUGUCUGGUUAUCCAUUUGUCUGGAAUGGUCUUCCUUUCUUACAGCUGCUUGGCCAGACCUUGCUACCUGUAGCUAAAAUUGCCUCUACCUAGCAGCAGCAGCAGCAGCAGCAGCAGCAGCAGCAGCAGCAGCAGCAGCAGCAGCAGCAGCAGCACACUCCCCACC